GUUGGACUGACAGGGACUAGCAUUAAAGGGAGGGAAUAUGAAGAUCCUGCUACAAAAGCUGAAAUGAAAGCAAUGGCUGCCAGAGCACUGAGGCAUCUGUGUGCAGGAAAUGUUAGCAUUUGUACUCACAUUACAGAAUCCCGAGCUCUUUUAUGCUUUGCCGUUUUGCUAGAGAAAGGCCAUGAUGAAGUACAAUAUCAUUCAGCCAUGGCACUUAUGGAGAUCACAGGAGUUGCUGAGCUAAAUUCAGACUUGAGACGUGCAGCUUUCAAGCCGAC
rnacentral:misc_RNA from 1 species